UACGUAGGGGGCAAGCGUUGUCCGGAUUUAUUGGGCGUAAAGAGCUCGUAGGCGGUUUGUCGCGUCUGCUGUGAAAACCCGAGGCUCAACCUCGGGCCUGCAGUGGGUACGGGCAGACUAGAGUGCGGUAGGGGGAGAUUGGAAUUCCUGGUGUAGCGGUGGAAUGCGCAGAUAUCAGGAGGAACACCAAUGGCGAAGGCAGAUCUCUGGGCCGUAACUGACGCUGAGGAGCGAAAGCAUGGGGAGCGAACAGG
rnacentral:rRNA from 1 species